AGUGAACGCUGGCGGUAUGCCUAACACAUGCAAGUCGAACGGCAGCACAGUAAGAGCUUGCUCUUACGGGUGGCGAGUGGCGGACGGGUGAGGAAUACAUCGGAAUCUACUUUUUCGUGGGGGAUAACGUAGGGAAACUUACGCUAAUACCGCAUACGACCUACGGGUGAAAGCAGGGGAUCUUCGGACCUUGCGCGAUUGAAUGAGCCGAUGUCGGAUUAGCUAGUUGGCGGGGUAAAGGCACACCAAGGCGACGAUCCGUAGCUGGUCCGAGAGGAUGAUCAGCCACACGGGAACUGAGACACGGUCCAGACUCCUACGGGAGGCAGCAGUGGGGAAUAUUGGACAAAGGGCGCAAGCCUGAUCCAGCCAUACCGCGUGGGUGAAGAAGGCCUUCGGGUUGUAAAGCCCUGUUGUUGGGAAAGAAAAGCAGCAGGUUAAUACCCCGCUGUUCUGACGGUACCCAAAGAAUAAGCACCGGCUAACUUCGUG
rnacentral:rRNA from 1 species